GACGAACGCUGGCGGCGUGCUUAACACAUGCAAGUCGAACGGAAAGGCCCUGCUUUUGUGGGGUGCUCGAGUGGCGAACGGGUGAGUAACACGUGAGUAACCUGCCCUUGACUUUGGGAUAACUUCAGGAAACUGGGGCUAAUACCGGAUAGGAGCUCCUGCUGCAUGGUGGGGGUUGGAAAGUUUCGGCGGUUGGGGAUGGACUCGCGGCUUAUCAGCUUGUUUGUGGGGUAGUGGCUUACCAAGGCUUUGACGGGUAGCCGGCCUGAGAGGGUGACCGGCCACAUUGGGACUGAGAUACGGACCAGACUCCUACGGGAGGCAGCAGUGGGGAAUAUUGCACAAUGGGCGGAAGCCUGAUGCAGAAACGCCGCGUGCGGGAUGACGGCCUUCGGGUUGUAAACCGCUUUCGCCUGUGACGAAGCGUGAGUGACGGUAAUGGGUAAAGAAGCACCGGCUAACUACGUG
rnacentral:rRNA from 1 species